UGUCUAAAUAUGACUAAGCGAAACAUGUUAGCCUAUUUAACUAAACUUGUCUAAGCAUUUCAUAAACAAAUUGAAAUACACGUUUAUAAUUCGUGGAUAUGACCAGUUUAUGAUGAGAACACGGUUAAGCUCAAUCUGUACAUGCUGAGCUAAUGCCAUGUAAAUUGCCUGCCAUAUGGGUAAUGUUGGAGAAUGAAGUUUUAUUCCCAAGCGAACCUCUUAGGAUAAGUGUUUUCUCUUACGAAUACUCAGAUACAAGUGGGACCUUUUCCCAUGAAAGUAACAUUUGAAAGGAAGACAGUCCCUAAUAAGUCUAUCACACCAUCACUCGUUUUCUUAUUAUGUACCUAUAUAAAAGCAGAAAAGAAAUAUUAAAGAGGUAUCUUCCAAGUUAAAGUUUCUACUUCAUCUAUGGUCAACAUAACAAGGUUAGAAAUGAUCAAAGUAUCUCGUCUACAAGCUUACAUGGAUAUAAUCGAAACACAAGUUCGAUUCAGGAUGAUGAUGAAAAGUUUCUCUCUGUAACUGGUGUUAAUGCGAGACAACUGAACAAGUACUUGCUUAAAUCAGAUAUGUGAGACUUCUAAUUCUGAUUCACACCGCUCAUGCAUGAAAGAGUUUCCAUCAAUCGUGUGUAUCAUAGAAACCCUUUACUUAGUCAUAAUCUGCCCCCACUUCUUGCAAAUCUUGGGUCUGCCACAGAUCUAAUGGAUACAUCAUCUUUUCAACUUUGUGGUCCCUUACUGGUUGUAGUCUUUUCAAACAAAGUAAAUGUCCUUCUACUAGAUACAUAUAGACAAUCAAAAUUGAUGGCAGCAGGAAAAGCCCUUUCGAGGCAGAUAACAAACAGAAGAAUAGGCGGAAGUUUCCAGAAUAUACUUAAAAGCCUGAAAGAAGCAACGUGUAUCAGGCCAAUUUCCACUUUUGAAAGAUAACCCAUGUUUUGGACAGUUGAUUUGGAUCGUGAAGUGUAGGCAGUAAAGGUCAGCCAUAAAAUGCUGGGAAAUUGAGUCUAAGAGACAGUCCACUCAAAUUCUAAAGUGGUCAAAUGAACCUUUCAGCUAUAGGAAAUCAUAUGAUGCAUAAAUUUAUUGUUGAACUUUAACUAAAACACUACAGACAGCUCCAGCAUCCCAAGAAAGACCUUGGAUCUUCUCUCAUGAGUUCACCCAUGCAAAAUACAUCCAACUUCUAUAUACACAGUCAACCAAAUAAAUACAAAUUGAGAGGACUGCAAUCUUCUCGGCCCUUGUCUUU